rnacentral:rRNA from 1 species
UACGAAGGGGGCUAGCGUUGCUCGGAAUCACUGGGCGUAAAGCGCACGUAGGCGGCUUUUUAAGUCAGGGGUGAAAUCCUGGAGCUCAACUCCAGAACUGCCUUUGAUACUGAGAGCUUGAGUCCGGGAGAGGUGAGUGGAACUGCGAGUGUAGAGGUGAAAUUCGUAGAUAUUCGCAAGAACACCAGUGGCGAAGGCGGCUCACUGGCCCGGUACUGACGCUGAGGUGCGAAACGUGGGGAGCAAACAGGG